rnacentral:lncRNA from 1 species
UUUUUACAUAUAAUUGGGAAAAAAUGUCAAAAGCAAUGAAAAUGUUAGCAGAAUUUUAAACUUCCUAAUGGUAGAUAUUGUGGAACUGUGGAACUUAGGAGAGCCCAAGCUAUCAGAGGUUUGUGCAUGUUGUCUGUUUGAUUCUCUGUUAAUUCCUUGAGGACAAGAACUGUUUUACUUUGAUCUUCAUUAUCUCUAUCAUCUAGCAAAGUGACCAGCAUAUACUAGGCCCAUAAUACAUGACAGAUUGAUAUAAAACUGAAAUUCUGUGAUCCUUCCAACCAUUCAAAACACUCCAUAGAAGAAAUUCCUUUAUCUCCUCAGGGUUUGACCAGAGAAUUGAUGAUAUUCUGAUGAUUGCUCAAGGUUUGUUGGCCAAGACCAAGUUGUAAAGCUGAAGCAUAGGUUGAAGUCAAUGAGACUAUUCAGGAGAAAAAUUUCAGUAUCCAUUUGGUUACCAAUAACCAAUUACCAAUUGGGCUCAGGAGAAGCUUUCUGUUUGCUGCUUGCUGUUCUCCAUCACCAUGAAUCCUCACUGACAAGAGCAGUUGAUAUUCCCGGUGAACUAGGGGCUAUUAUUCCCAGAAUACAUGAAGAACCAAAGGCUGAGAAAGAAUCUCUGAAAUUACUGUCAUUUGAGAAAACAAUUUCAUCAAAAGAAAGUAUUGUGCACAGCCUACCAAAUCCAAAACUAUCUGUGAUCUCCACAAUUAAGUCCAAGCUUUUUAAGGCGCUGAAGAAAAGAAUUUUUCCCCCUUAAAGAGAGGGCUAUAAUACAAAACAAUGAAGAAAAAAAAACCCAGAGGAUGAACAGUUAUAUUCAAUCAAGACGUAUCUCUUACCAUCUCUGUAAAGACUGCAUCUUCCAAUAGGCAGAUGCAAUAAUAGCUUUUUUUUUUUACCCUCCUUCAAUUUUCUACUUAUCAGCUUUGUAGAUGAAAAGCUUCCUUACUAAACAAAAUUUUGAAUAAAAGCCUUAACUUAAUAUUAACCUGUUUGCUG